CGCUACCUGCAGUCGAGCGGUAGAGAGAGCUUGCUUCUCUUGAGAGCGGCGGACGGGUGAGUAAUGCCUAGGAAUCUGCCUAGUGGUGGGGGAUAACGUUCGGAAACGGACGCUAAUACCGCAUACGUCCUACGGGAGAAAGCGGGGGAUCUUCGGACCUCGCGCCAUUAGAUGAGCCUAGGUCGGAUUAGCUAGUUGGUGAGGUAAUGGCUCACCAAGGCGACGAUCCGUAACUGGUCUGAGAGGAUGAUCAGUCACACUGGAACUGAGACACGGUCCAGACUCCUACGGGAGGCAGCAGUGGGGAAUAUUGGACAAUGGGCGAAAGCCUGAUCCAGCCAUGCCGCGUGUGUGAAGAAGGUCUUCGGAU
rnacentral:rRNA from 1 species